rnacentral:lncRNA from 1 species
GACUGAUUUCUCAACGAGAGAUGAGUCUGUGGUGGUUGACGGUGGUGCGGAGACGGAUGCAUGGAUGGCGGUAUGACGGAGAUGAUGGGAUUGAGAGAGGUGGGUUGUUGGGGUUGGUGUGCGGUUGAGGGUGAUGGUGGAUGGGAGAGAAGAGAGGCGCGUGGUGGAUGGGGAUGAUGUGUGGCGCGUGAGAUGGGGGUUGGUGAGAUAGAGGGAAGUGGAAGAAGAU